ensembl:lncRNA
GUGGUUUUGUACUCAAAAGUACAUCAUGUAUGUUUUGUGGUGGUGUGUGGUGGGGUGUGGAGGUGGUGUAGUGGUGUGUGGAGGUGUGUGGUGGGGUGUGGAGGUGUGUGGUGGGGUGUGGAGGUGGUGUAGGGGUGUGUGGAGGUGUGUAGUGGUGUGUGGAGGUGUGUAGUGGUGUGUGGAGGUGUGUAGUGGUGUGUGGAGGUGGUGUAGUGGUGUGUGGAGGUGUUGUAGUGGGGUGUGGAGGUGGUGUAGUGGUGUGUGGAGGUGUGUAGUGGUGUGUGGAGGCGUGUGGAGGUGGUGUAGUGGGGUGUGGAGGUGGUGUAGUGGUGUGUGGAGGUGUGUGGAGGUGGUGUAGUGGUGUGUGGAGGUGGUGUAGUGUGGUGUGGAGGUGGUGUAGUGGUGUGUGGAGGUGGUGUAGUGGUGUGUGGAGGCGUGUGGAGGUGGUGUAGUGGUGUGUGGAGGUGGUGUAGUGGUGUGUGGAGGCGUGUGGAGGUGGUGUAGUGGUGUGUGGAGGCUUGUGGAGGUGUUGUAGUGGGGUGUGGAGGUGGUGUAGUGGUGUGUGGAGGUGUGUAGUGGGGUGUGGAGGGGGUGUAGUGGUGUGUGGAGGUGUGUAGUGGUGUGUGGAGGUGUGUGGUGGUGUGUGGAGGCGUGUGGAGGUGGUGUAGUGGGGUGUGGAGGUGGUGUAGUGGUGUGUGGAGGUGUGUGGAGGGGGUGUAGUGGUGUGUGGAGGUGUGUAGUGGUGUGUGGAGGUGUGUGGUGGUGUGUGGAGGCGUGUGGAGGUGGUGUAGUGGGGUGUGGAGGUGGUGUAGUGGGGUGUGGAGGCGUGUGGAGGUGUGUGGUGGGGUGUGGAGGUGUGUGGAGGUGGUGUAGUGGUGUGUGGAGGUGUGUGGAGGUGGUGUAGUGGUGUGUGGAGGCGUGUAGUGGUGUGUGGAGGUGGUGUAGUGGGGUGUGGAGGUGGUGUAGUGGUGUGUGGAGGUGGUGUGGAGGCGUGUGGAGGUGGUGUAGUGGUGUGUGGAGGCGUGUAGUGGUGUGUGGAGGUGGUGUAGUGGUGUGUGGAGGUGGUGUAGUGGUGUGUAGUGGUGUGUGGAGGUGGUGUAGUGGGGUGUGGAGGUGGUGUAGUGGUGUGUGGAGGCGUGUGGAGGUGUUGUAGUGGGGUGUGGAGGUGGUGUAGUGGUGUGUGGAGGUGUGUAGUGGGGUGUGGAGGGGGUGUAGUGGUGUGUGGAGGCGUGUGGAGGUGGUGUAGUGGUGUGUGGAGGUGGUGUAGUGGUGUGUGGAGGCGUGUGGAGGUGGUGUAGUGGUGUGUGGAGGCGUGUGGAGGUGUUGUAGUGGGGUGUGGAGGUGGUGUAGUGGUGUGUGGAGGUGUGUAGUGGGGUGUGGAGGGGGUGUAGUGGUGUGUGGAGGUGUGUAGUGGUGUGUGGAGGUGUGUAGUGGUGUGU